rnacentral:rRNA from 1 species
ACUCCUGCGGGAGGCAGCAGUGGGGAAUUUUGGACAAUGGGCGAAAGCCUGAUCCAGCAAUGCCGCGUGAGUGAAGAAGGCCUUCGGGUUGUAAAGCUCUUUUGUCAGGGAAGAAACGGUGAAAGCUAAUAUCUUUUGCUAAUGACGGUACCUGAAGAAUAAGCACCGGCUAACUACGUGCCAGCAGCCGCGGUAAUACGUAGGGUGCAAGCGUUAAUCGGAAUUACUGGGCGUAAAGCGUGCGCAGGCGGUUUUGUAAGUCUGAUGUGAAAUCCCCGGGCUCAACCUGGGAAUUGCAUUGGAGACUGCAAGGCUAGAAUCUGGCAGAGGGGGGUAGAAUUCCACGUGUAGCAGUGAAAUGCGUAGAUAUGUGGAGGAACACCGAUGGCGAAGGCAGCCCCCUGGGUCAAGAUUGACGCUCAUGCACGAAAGCGUGGGGAGCAAACAGGAUUAGAUACCCCGGUAGUCCC